UACGUAGGUGGCGAGCGUUGUCCGGAAUUACUGGGCGUAAAGGGCGCGUAGGCAGCUCUUUAAGUCAGAUGUGAAAACCCAGAGCUUAACUUUGGGACUGCAUUUGAAACUGAAGGGCUUGAGUGCAGGAGAGGUAAGUGGAAUUCCUAGUGUAGCGGUGAAAUGCGUAGAUAUUAGGAGGAACACCAGUGGCGAAGGCGACUUACUGGACUGUAACUGACGCUGAGGCGCGAAAGCGUGGGGAGCAAACAGG
rnacentral:rRNA from 1 species